GGGCCCGUAGCUCAGUUGGUUAGAGCAGGCGACUCAUAAUCGCUUGGCCGCAGGUUCGAGUCCUGCCGGGCCCA
rnacentral:tRNA from 1 species